CAACUAAAAUAAUUAUUUAAAAAUGUUAACGCACACACACGUGCGCAGACACACAUACUAUAAACGUAUCCAGUCAAACAAAAUUAUAAACACAAGGCAGGGAAGACACACACGAAUACAGAGAGGCAUAUAUAAAGGUAAACGUACACAACAUGAUACAAAAAGUCUCUUAAGCAGUUUCGAUGUUCUCGCAUAUUUUCAGUAAAAUAUAUAUCGGAUCGACAGACAGACGUGCCAAACAGAGCUUUAUAGCGAAUAUUACUUGAAAUUCGUCACUCUUUAUCGUUUUGCAUCCUGUUCCUUAGUGUAAUUCAAGCCAGGAGAAACGAACAAUAUAAAUAUAAGAAUUACGUCUCGCGUGACUGGAAACACAUCUCGUGGAACACAAUCGGUGAUAGUACAAGGAACAUCAUAUCAACGAUGCCACAAAGAAACGAGCAUUGGAUAAUGAGAUUUUUUGGAAUGAAAAGUAAUAUUGCAGAAUGUAGAUUAUGUAACUAUAAGACAUCACUAUUUGAAUCCGUAGAAGAUAUGCGCCUUCAUUUAACUCAUAUACAUAACCAUGGCUGGAAAGAAUCUAUGGACCAAUUAACUAUCCCCUGGCCUCAUUUGAUUUGGUGUUACUUCUACAUAAGCAAUGAUGGCAACGCAAAAUGUUGUAAAGAAAAUUGUCAAGAAACGUAUAAUUCCAGUUUAAAUAAGAUAAGAGAUAUGAAACUACAUUUUGUAGAUGCCCAUAUAUCUCGACUUUCUGGCUGCAUUUAUGAAUGGACAGUACCACACUAUAAAAUAAUUGAACGUGAGCGCAACCAUCGCUACUUAGUGAGAAAAUGCGAAAUACCUAAUUGUAAUUUUGUAUAUCGCAAAAACAUGGGCACGUUUGUAUUAUUAUUUGGGCAUUUAAUUUUUGACCAUAAUUUAAUACCUGACCGAUCAAUAAGAUUGUUCAAAGAUUUUUCUGGAAAUUUUUGUUUGCGAUAAUGAUUUACGGUGAUGAGAAGAUUAAUGAAAAUUUUAACAACAUGGACGCAGGUUUCGAAAGAAAUGAGGUUAACGUAUUAUCAUGGACAUGGACAAUAAAAUAAAAUAAGAAAUUUAUAUUUUUGACUUUAUCGCUCUAUCU